AAAGGGAAGCAGAGUAAAUAUUUACUGACGCAGCAGAAAUCGAGGAGGCCGACACCUCGAUGGAAACAAAGGCGGGAGGAUGCGGAAUGGUGUGCCAGGAAACUGGGAACAGGCCUGGGGUGGCACCGCCGGUGUCAGCGGAAAAAAAAAACAGAAAGACAAAAGAGGGUCACUCAUGUGGGACGCCACCCCUUGGCAGUGUCUGUCUCCUUAUUAAGCUUAAAAUUGUGUUUUCCUCCUCUUCAGAUAAGGAGAACCUCAAUAUCGACACAGCCUGAGUCAUAAGCCGAGCAUCCAGGAGCGUCGCCAGAGGAGAUAAACGGACCGGGCUGUGGGUUCAUUCCGAGGGGACGCACUCUCGCUUUUUUAAGAGGCACCAGCCUCCCCCCACAACGUCUCUGAAUAAGCCCCCCGACGUCGGGCUAGCGCGGAGCUGGCUGCCACAUGCGUUCCCAUGUUCCGGAAUGUUCCAGAACAGCCGACAGGAGGCGGAGACAAACGCUGUCUGCUCUAAGGUCACGUUCAUGCCGAUGUCUUUUUGCCGUCCACUUCUUGCUAAAAGUUAAUUAAUCUUUGACUUAAUCUUUAAAACAACAAUGUGCGUAUGCUUUACAUGUAUAGCUGCCAGUCACUUUGUUAGUCAUCAGGUGAAAUAUAAUCAAAGUCCAAAAUGGAAGCACAUAAAUUGAAAUUUCUUAUGAUUAUGACGGUUGGAUUCACGGCGAUUUCAUGAGUCAUUCAGUCAGUUACUCAAUAUAAAUCCGAUUACUAUACAAAAAAAGCAUUUAAUAGUUGUUUGAAUAAAGAAAUGAAAAGUAUUUUUAAAUGUUUUUCUUCAACUUCAAUUGUUCACACUAAUAUAGGGAUUUCACAUUAUUGUCUUAAUUCCACAUAAAACACACACAAUUACAUAUAAAUGUUAAAUGUUAAUAAAUGUUAGCAAGUCAAAAUCAUCUUUGUGUUAACAAAGUGUCAGUUGAUUAAUGGUUAGAAGAACACAAUAGCAAAUAUUUAGAUAGCUGACUGGACUUGUGCAGAAUGGUGAGGGCUGUCCUCACUGCUCUCCAGCACUAAGUAUUGACCACAUAACGUCAGCUCUCGUCUUAGAGCCUUUCGGCGCUGCAAUAAAAUAGAAACCUAACCUCAAUAUUUUCUCUCUCUGUUCUGGGACCUGAUGGCCCAUUAACUCCCCCUCCCACGUGUCAUCUCAAACGUUUCCUCUCUGAAAUUUUAGAAUAAUUAAACAUUCUUAAUGAUUUAUAAGAUAUAAUAAUAGCCAGGAGUCUUUCAGGGCAGGUUAAACCGACAACCUUUUAAGGACACUCAGGGGAUGACCUCGUCUUUAACACAGUUUUGGAUCGUUGACUCCCUGACUGGAAAAGUGAAUGAAACCGCUCGUAUUGCCUUUGUAGAAAUCCUCCAAUGUCGUAACUCAAACCAGAGAUGCUGGGAGAGCCAGCUGAAGACUGCUGCACUUUUAAUUAAUCGAUCCAUUCAUUUAAAAAAAAAAAGAGAAGGAUAAAAAAAGCAUCUUUAUGCCCAAGGUCAAAACUGGAAGAGGAAGCUAAUGACCAUCACGCUGCUUGUGUUUUCGUAACUUUCAUCGUUUAAAGGUCUCCCACCAGACAUCACACAAGACGCCAAGCUCAGCUUCGGGCCCUGGACUGUCCAGCCCUGCCUGCCGUCCUCUUAUCCUACUCGGUGUCGGGGACUGGAGCCUUUGCCAGCUGUAACUGCGUGUCUUUGGACUGUAUGGGGAGCCCUGAAGUGGACUUGGGGAAACGGGCAAAUUCCAUGCACAGAGGAAAACCAGAAGCGGGCUUUGAACCCACAACCAUGGAGGUAAGAGGCAACAGCACUGAGCCACACAAGUUCUAGCCAAAGAAGGAGAAUUUAUGUAGGGUAUCAGCAUGUAUGUGUGAACAUGCAACCUCAAUAUAAUCCGUGGUAUAUAGAGAGAGGAAUAUUAAUCAUUUUCUGUUGGUCAGGAGUUUUUUGAUGCUUGUAGUUAAUGGAGUUUCUCACUGUCCUGUUUCCAUUAGCCCACGCAGGUUGGUGACCCUCUGUGCCAUUGAUGACAGCCAGCCCCUGAUUCAGGAGAGUGGCAUGGUCUGCGUGAAGCCUGGCCUCUCUGGGUCACGCGCUACAUCACAAAGAUCUUGCUUGUGUUACGAGCUACAUAGCAGAAAUAAGCAGUGUUGGCCCACAAUAGAUGGCAGGCUUGCAAGUCUAAGAUCAACGAGUCAGUAGCAAACAUUGCCCAAUGUAAUCCCCAAGGAUACUUCAUUGUCAGUCAUAUCAUUACAGACGGAGGGCGAUUUCAUGAAGUUCCUUAGCCGACAGCAGACCAACGGAGAAAACAAGUCAUUGAUAUUAAAGGUCAGUUGUUCUACAGAUAUGCACGUACUUAAACGCAACAUCUAGCCGCCAAUCCAUCCGUCCAUCUGUCCAUCAUCGUGGGGCCUAGAGCUUCUCCCAGGCUAGGAGAAUACAAACACACACACACAUCAGCCACGAUGGCCAAAUUAGAGAUGCAAAUUGUUUUAAGACAUAUUUCACUACAGAUUACACUCCUGCUGAUGGUACUUGGAGUUCUAUUCUGGCACCAUUUGCCUCUAUUUGUAUAGUGAUUGUGGAAUAAGAGUGAGAGAGACCUACAGCGCUGCAUCUCCGUCUUGUCAUGGUAUGAAGGGUGACUUUGGUGGCCCGAAGAGGGACGUUCGGCGAAGUUGACGGCGAGAAGCUCUGCAGCAUGUCAGCUAUAGCUAGCAUAUGUUUCCGAUCAUUCAUCUGGUGCCUGACUCCUACAUUGGGGUCGGCAGCCCCCACCACCUUUCGCCUCCAGGAGGGGGGCCCGCCCACGGCCUUUAGUCACGCGCACGCGGGACGGCGAUGGCGAGCAAUCCCGUAAUUAUGAGCGGGGCUCAGCCUUCACUUAUUGAGUGCCGGACAGCAAGUGCAUUGU